CUUCUUUCUGCAGUUAAAAUGAAGAAGAAAACUAAAAUUAACAAGAAAAAAGUCAGAUAUGAUUCUGCUGCCUCUCCGAAAAUAGACUGCUGCAGUAUACUCAUAUGCUUAUAUUUAUAAAAAAAAAGAAAAGAAAUGAAAUGAAAUAUGCUUGUGAGUUAUUCCAGAGAAAAACAUAAAAACAGACUUUCAUGAAACAACUUGCAAAGUAUAACCAAAAAAGCUACUUUGUGAAGUGAAAACAUACUCUAUAUUUAAAAUCUGUCAAAUAAAGUGCAAGUUCUUCCACUUUUUAUUUGAUUUUUUUUUUAAAUUCUUUUAACAGAAACAGCCUUGUUUGGCUGUUAAAAAUCCUAGUCUUUGAGUCGAGUGUCCAGAAUGCUGCAGCAAAACACAAAUCCUUUAAUGUUUCUUUUCAGCUUUUGCCUGUUUCCUGAAUUCAAAUAGCUAAAGCAACCUGGAGCUCACGAGCAUGAGAGUGAUUGAGAAUACUUGGAUUUGUGCCAAGAAUAUCUCCAGAUUUAAAGCAAAACAACAGAAUUACUUUUGUGAAUUAGGAAAUGGAAGCCUAUUAAUUCAAUCUCAGCAUUUAAACUUACUUUGAGAGCGUAGAGUCCUGACUUCCCAGGGAUUUUGAAGAAUGUUCCAUCACCUACACGAGUGUUAGUAUGAAGCAUUGCAUUCAGGCAAGCUAAUGGAGAAGUUCCACUGAAAAAUAAAAUUGUGCAAAAAUAAAA